rnacentral:rRNA from 1 species
GACGAACGCUGGCGGCGUGCUUAACACAUGCAAGUCGAACGGAGCGGCGAACGGGUGAGUAACGCGUGAGUAACUGCCACCCUCCUUGGGAUGACAGAUGGAAACGGCUGAUAAUACCGGAUAGCGGGGGAUGGCUCGCGUCGUAUGAGCUUGGUGGUUGGGUAGGGGCCUAGCAAGCCGACGACGGGUUGCCGGCCUGGGAGGGGAGCCAGCCACAAGAGGCUGAGGUACGGACCAGUGUCGUACGGGGGGCAGCGGGGGGGAAUCUGACGCAGUGGGGGAAACUCUGAUGCGGAGGCGCCGGGUGCGGGAUGACGGCCUUCGGGUUGUGAACCGGUUUCAGCCAUGACGCGGUAGUGGCAGAAGAAGCACCGGCUAACUACGUGCCAGCAGCCGCGGUAAUAC